rnacentral:rRNA from 1 species
UACGUAGGGUGCGAGCGUUAAUCGGAAUUACUGGGCGUAAAGCGUGCGCAGGCGGUGAUGUAAGACAGAUGUGAAAUCCCCGGGCUCAACCUGGGAACUGCAUUUGUUACUGCAUCCCUGGAAUUCGGCAGAGGGGGAUGGAAUUCCGCGUGUAGCAGUGAAAUGCGUAGAUAUGCGGAGGAACACCGCUGGCGAAGGCAAUCCCCUGGGCCUGCACUGACGCUCAUUCACGAAAGCGUGGGGAGCAAACA